CUUGGUCAUUUAGAAGGAGUAAAAGUCGUAACAAGGUCUCCGUAGGUGAACCUGCGGAGGGAUCAUUACAAGUGACCCCGGUCUAACCACCGGGAUGUUCAUAACCCUUUGUUGUCCGACUCUGUUGCCUCCGGGGCGACCCUGCCUUCGGGCGGGGGCUCCGGGUGGACACUUCAAACUCUUGCGUAACUUUGCAGUCUGAGUAAACUUAAUUAAUAAAUUAAAACUUUUAACAACGGAUCUCUUGGUUCUGGCAUCGAUGAAGAACGCAGCGAAAUGCGAUAAGUAAUGUGAAUUGCAGAAUUCAGUGAGUCAUCGAAUCUUUGAACGCACAUUGCGCCCCCUGGUAUUCCGGGGGGCAUGCCUGUUCGAGCGUCAUUUCACCACUCAAGCCUCGCUUGGUAUUGGGCAACGCGGUCCGCCGCGUGCCUCAAAUCGACCGGCUGGGUCUUCUGUCCCCUAAGCGUUGUGGAAACUAUUCGCUAAAGGGUGUUCGGGAGGCUACGCCGUAAAACAACCCCAUUUCUAAGGUUGACCUCGGAUCAGGUAGGGAUACCCGCUGAACUUAAGCAUAUCAAUAAGCGGAGGA
rnacentral:rRNA from 1 species